UGGGCAACCUCCGCCUUGAUGGGAAGAACAACGUCAAGCUCUCCGACUUUGGCUUAACAAGCAGUGGCACCCAGGAAAGCAGCUAGACUCCUUCUGCGGGAGCCCCGCGUUCAUGGCCCCAGAAUGCUUCCUAGGGAUGCCUUAGGCAGGCCCAGCCGUGGAUGUGUGAAGCCUCGACGGCGUCCUGUACACCAUGGUAACUAGACGCCUCCUCUUUGGGGGACAAGAUUUCUGGGAGCUCCAGCAGCGUGUGCUUAGAGGGCAGUAACAUGUGCCCAAAUACAUAUCCAAUCAGAUAAUAGACUUACUCUGAAGAAUGCAAACGCUCAACCUACCAACAGAGGUACUUUAGAUGAUGUUUGCCAGCGUCCAUGUGUGAACAUGGGCCAGGAGGAGCCACUGCCGCCAGCCUGUGAAGAGCACGCCCACCCAGGUUGCCUCCUGGGCAUCAGGCCUCUGCCUCCGUCGUGCGGCCUGUGGCCUCCAGGUGGUAGACAGGUCUCCCCAGUGGACAAAUGCCAUUACUAGAAAGUGUGAGAUGAUCCUGGGCUGGUGGAGGGACCAGAUCCAGGGCUUCGGCGUACUCAGUGGUGUUGAUAGCGUGCACGUGAAUGAUCCCUGCAUGGUGGCCCGCGCCAUCGUUGUGAGGCCAGCUGUUUCCUCCGACCUCAGCAGCGAAGAACAUACACCUCCCGCCAAGCCCUGAGAUGCCCAUGCUUAAACCCGACUGAAUUUGGGAGACCAUCCAGCAGCAGGAGAACCAGGAGUCAGGGAGAAGGCCAGAGAGCCUGCCACACCCCAACCCUGCCCGGAGGCAAGGACCUUUACCCGCAGCCCAGCCCCCUCCACUCACAACACCCACGAUGCCAGCAGCGCCCUAGCCACAGAUCAUGCCAGUGACCGCCACGACACGUGCCGGACCAGGCUCACCUGCGGCAGGCGUGACAGCAGCCACACCCAUGACACCAGCGUUACCCGUGGCACCAGAGACGCCUGUGACACCAUCAGCACCUGCGACAGCUGCGAUACCACAGGUACCAGCCUCAUCUGUGAUGCCUGCACCAGCCGUGACACAAGCCACACCUGGUACACUAGCCCACCUAUGAAGCCCUAAGCACCCAGGAGGCCACUGGGGAAUGCAAUAUUGAUGACACCCGUGACACCCACGAUACCUGCAUCACCGGUGACACCUGCCUCGCACAUGACCCCAGAGGCACCCGUGACCCCAGAGGCACCCGUGGCCCCCUUGGUGACCGCACCAUCCAUGAUACUUCUGCCACUAUCACCCGUGACACCAGGGGCACCCGCAACACUGAGGGCACUCACGGCACCUGUGACUCCUGAAACACCAAUGGCACCCAUGACAC
ensembl:lncRNA